GACGAACGCUGGCGGCGUGCUUAACACAUGCAAGUCGAACGAUGAACCCGGAGCUUGCUCCGGUGGAUUAGUGGCGAACGGGUGAGUAACACGAGAGUAACCUGCCCUUGACUCUGGGAUAACUGCGGGAAACUGUAGCUAAUACCGGAUACGACCCUCGGCGGCAUCGCCAGGGGGUGGAAAGAACUUCGGUCAAGGAUGGACUCGCGGCCUAUCAGCUAGUUGGUGAGGUAACGGCUCACCAAGGCGACGACGGGUAGCCGGCCUGAGAGGGUGACCGGCCACACUGGGACUGAGACACGGCCCAGACUCCUACGGGAGGCAGCAGUGGGGAAUAUUGCACAAUGGGCGCAAGCCUGAUGCAGCAACGCCGCGUGAGGGAUGACGGCCUUCGGGUUGUAAACCUCUUUUAGUAGGGAAGAAGCGAAAGUGACGGUACCUGCAGAAAAAGCACCGGCUAACUACGUGCCAGCAGCCGCAGUAA
rnacentral:rRNA from 1 species